GGGUGUCAUGGCCCUCAUGGGCCACCGUAGCCGACUGCUUGUUUGAGCUCAGGGCGCGCGACGCCGGCGGCGCCAUGUUGUCUCCGGCCAUUUCUGCCUCUCGCGCACCUGGUCCUGCCUCGCGGCUCCACCCAUCACCUCGAGGUGUGGGAGGAAGCUCUCGGCCUCGCUGCUGUCGCGGGACCGCUGCUUUUCGGGCACCAUUUCGGAGCAAACCCGCAAGUGUCUGUAGUGUUCUCUCGUGCACCUAGCGAUUUGCUCCUCAAAAGAGUCUCCGGAGAGAGAAGAGGCAAACAUCACUGCUCCACACCCAGCACACACUGGAGCCCAGUGUGAGGCUUAAACUCAUGACCCUGAGAUCAAGACCUGAGCUGAGAUCAAGCGUUGGACACUUAACCAGCUGAGCCACCAGGUGCCCCUAAUUGGAGAAUUUAAUCCAUUUACAUUUAAGCUGUAUACCCAAUAUGAGGCUUGAACUCACAACCCUGAGAUCAAGAGUCACAUGCUCUACUGACUGAGCCAGCCAGGCACCCCUAGUACAGGUUAUUCCCACCUAGAGAACGUUACUGGUAACCCUCAACAGCUGGAAUAGAAGUCAGGACCAUCAACUCAAAUUGAGGAGGUCCGGAUAUCUGAACUCACCCGAUAACACCUGUGAGGUGCUGAGAAGUCGGAGGGGCACAAAGGGCCCAUGCUGGCACUGAGCACCGAGCUCCAGAGGACCCCCAGGAGAUCUCAGAGGAAAUCGUUCCAUAUGGAGCUGUGGAUCUGGUGUGUCCAUGGGAGGAGAGAGCGACACAGCAAGGACGUUUUAUAUACUUUUUGGCACUUAUAGAUCUUCGAAGAAAUGUCAGUAUGGAGACUGGAUUAACACGUUCCCUUUGGAUCCUGAUGAACACGAGCAGUUGAGUAAUAGGACUUUCGGGAAGGUAUUCUUCGCUACUGCAGUAGUCCAGCAGCCCAAGGAGCUUGUGAUGAAGGUUGUGGUCUUCAGCAUCCUCGUGACAAAUUCAGUUUUUCCUGAGAGCCUUUCGUAAAAAAAUAGACCUCUGUACGCGUGUGACUGUCGCGGCAGGUGCGUCAGCUGGCCACGGUGCGCCGGUAUUCGGCGGUGCCGUCGGCUAUGACGGCGUCCAGGGGAGAGCGCUUCUUCCGGAUGCUGCGCCCGGAGGAGAUGAGGUCCGCGUAGCCGCGCUGGUGCGAGAAGGCGUAGGCCGAGCGCCGCGAAGACAUGCCCCGGCGGAACACGCGCUGCCGCCGCUUCCACUGCUCCUCGGCUUUCAACCGCUUGCGGUGCUUCUGAAUCUGCAGAACCGGAGAGAGGACCUCGCAGUUUGCAGAUAAGCUCCCAGAGGUAUGAAGAAGAGGAUCAUCGAUGUUAAAAUUCCAUGCACCAGGCUUACAAAGAACUUCUUAUAGUUGAAUAACAGGUGCCCAGUCCGUCCUGAAGUGUCCCGUCAGCCCGAGGCUCCUACCUGGUCAAGCAGCCCCAUGAGGAGCACGGGCAGGCUGGAGUACAGCACGUUGUAGAGCGUGAUGAACCAGUCUUCGUAUGCAGUCUGUGAGGAGAUUACAGAGUCGCCGUGUCACAAACCAAGACCUAUUGCCCGCCUAGUCAACAUGCAUUCAUCUCUCUCGGAGGGGGGAAGGCCCCAGGCUGUGUGCAGCUUCUGCCAGAGUAAACACCCCUCAUCUGCAUCUGCCCAAGAGUACCCAUUGAAGAAGGAGUACCAGAAAUGAACCAAAGUAAAUGCAAAGUUUUUAUAAAAGAAGUAUCGUAGGAACUUGCACAUCCUUAUGUAAGACCACCGGCCAUGUACCAGCAACAGUCUCUGCAAGUAUCUGAACUGGGCAAAGGAGUAGUCACUUGACAUGACAGCUUGCAUGCCUUCUUGUCCACUUAUUCCAACACCAAUGUGGGCAGCUGUCGGACAGAGGGAGAAGAUAUGUGAAUCGUAAGCUAAUUUUAAGGCGAAAUAUUUAAGUGAUAAAAAUGUUUCCACAGCAAAACAAAGAAACACAUUCAUGGAACAAUGUAUGUGAAAACUCUCUCUCACCAGCCCCACCCCAGCUUCUGAACUCAAUGUCAGAGAUACAAGUUGCUCAAAAGAGCACAUGCUGGGGCCUCCAAAAGGUAUUUGUGGAAGGAUCUCAGGUGGGUGGUGAAUUCCAUUUGGAUUAUCUGCCCGGCUGAUAGGCCAUCCUUCCCGCCCACGGGGUUAAUCCAAGGAGUCUAUGCAGACUGUGCGUUCCUGCCUCCCUGGCCACAGCUGAGUCAGCUGCUAUUGGCAGAUACUACAAAUUGGCCCUCCCAACUUUCAUUCCACCCUUGUUCUACUGGAAAGGUGGGAAAGCACAUAAAAACCUUACAUUGCUCAGACUCCCUUGCACUAGGUUCUGUUGGUGAAUUGGGUUUCAUUGUUAGGAGCCACUUGAAGUUUCCGGAAGUAGAAGCGAACUGGGGCCCAGCACCCCUUCCCUUUUUGGCAUUUCUUCAGCAGAGUUCGUAUGCUCUCCCCAGCUGCCUGGAUGCUGAUAGACAAAAGCUCAACUGAAAAGCCCUUCACAGGAGUCUCAAAGCUAGAAGCUCCUCUGGUGAGUGACUAAGAUGUUAGAGACUCAGGCUAGCACCUACUUUCUUCAGCCCAUCCAGAGCUUUCAUGAGCACCUAGUCCCCUGUAUUAAUCACUUCCUGCUUAAAGUACCCAACGGGGUCUGUAUCUUGUACUAACUGACUGAAAACCCAAGCUGGGGCAAUCAGUGUCUCUUUCACAUUUUGGAAUUAAGAUUCGGGCAUGUUUGUGUUUGGAAUUUUAACCUAUACAUUCUUGAGUUGUGGGACAGAUAUAUUUUUUUUCUCAGGGGUUCUGAGGGGCAGAGAAGUCAAGUCAUCUAGGAAGAGGGAGAAACCAGAAGCUGGGGUCCUGGUGCAGCUCCAGGUCCUGGUUCUAGCAUCUUCCUGAGGCGUGGCUUCUUGGGAGGCACAAAACAUCUUUUUUUUUUUUUUUUUUUUUUUUAAUUUGGGAGAGCAGGAGUGGAGGGGAGAGGCAGAGGGAGAAGCAGAUUCCCCGCUGAGCAGGGAGCCCAACAUGGGACUUGAUCCCAGAACCCUGGGAUCACAACCUGAGCUAAAGGCAGACACUUAACCAACUGAUCCCCCCAGGUGUCCCCAUCUUUAUAUCUUUUAAAAUAAAUUAUCUUUUUGUCUUAAGCUUGCUUUAGCUCUCUAAUAUUUGCAAUCAGAAGUAUUUUAACUAAGAUAAUAUUAAACUUUCAGCAUUUAACCAUGGCCCACCAUGACCUUAAGAGGCAGAAUUUUUUUGCCGGUGAAGGUUCCAGAAUGGAUAAAAAUGAAAAUCACAAUUUUAUCCGUCCUUCCAAUAGUCAUUUAGUCACAGUUUCAACUUCUAGAAUUACAAAUUUUAUCUAGGUCUUAAGAGGCAUGGAAGUAAAGACGUUCUGACAUCAGUUAGAGAACAUGUGCUGGAGAACACAACGUAUUAUUACUUAGACCCGGAGAAUGACUGCCAACUCAGCAGGGUUUCCAACUAAAAGAAGCUUCCAAAAUCCUGCCAUAGUGGCAGAAUACUAGGUCUGGCAAAUUCAAAGCGACAUAGUGACUUGGCCAAACCUAUGUUUUCAGCAACACUUUGCAAUUCUAAAAAAUAGAAUAAAUUGCAUGCCUCAGUCAAUAUUUACGAUUUCUUUCAAAACACAUAAAUAAUUCUUAUGACUAGUCAUGGUUGCCAAACUGCUCUUUCCUACCAAACCGUGGCCUUCUUUCCUGAACAAGCAACAAAGGGAAAUGUGGAGAUUCUCGUGGAGCCAAGAAGGAAGAACCCCUGCCACAAGCCCUGAUGUCCAGCCCAACGUUUCUGCCGAGCACCCCAAGGACAGUAUGUGAAAUGAACACAGCUACAGCUCACAGGGGAUUCGAAGCAACGGAAGAGAUGUCCUUUAUAAGGCCACACUUUUUUCCCCCCAUAAUCUAAAUAGAGACACCUGGAUUUUCCUGAAGCUUCAAAAAUGUGGUUUCAGGUGGCUCACUGGUAGGCUCCUUCAGGGUUGCUUAACAAACCCAUCAUGUCCUCGUGCUUUUCUGCCUGUCUCCCCUCUCAUGCUGCUUGUUCGUUCUGAGGGUGUUAGGCCAACGAAAAACACCCACCAGCCAGCAGACACCUUCAGGCCCGAGAGAGGGAGAGAGGGCAGGCAGCCCGUGAGAGCCCUUGGGUCCUUGCUAGGGUUGCAACUCCCUCCACUUCUCCUGGCCUCCAUCACUCAACGUGGAACAUGCUAACAAAUGGCCAGAUUUUUGGACACUGAAAUUUCACUGUACUUCUUUAUAAACAAACAUAAUUUCUGCAUAUUGUUUUUUAUGCAAAUGAAAGUGAUGCCAGUUUUUCUAAAGUACAAAAAGGUACUAUCAAUACUUGGAUAAAGCUGCUGACUUCCACGGAGACCUGAGUUUCUUUGAUUUUCAUCCCAAAUGGAUGCUCCCUAUUAUAUAUAAAAGUAUCUGCCAUAUAACAGAACUUAAUAAAAUUCUUAGGACAUACAA